GAUUUCCUGAGGUGUGCGACACUCUUGUUAUUUUGAACCUACAAAUACGAUUUGGGAGCCGUAAUGAUAAAAAUGUUGAUGCCAGGCCACAAUCUAAUUCCCUUUGGGCAGUGGAAGGCAGAUAUAUUUUUGAAGGCACCCCCCUGGCGAAGCUAGGGCGUCAAAAUGCAAGAACCGGCAUUUCGGGUAUGUA
rnacentral:other from 1 species